rnacentral:rRNA from 1 species
CCUACGGGAGGCUGCAGUGAGGAAUAUUGGUCAAUGGACGAGAGUCUGAACCAGCCAAGUAGCGUGAAGGAUGACUGCCCUAUGGGUUGUAAACUUCUUUUAUAUGGGAAUAAAGUGUUCCACGUGUGGGAUUUUGUAUGUACCAUAUGAAUAAGGAUCGGCUAACUCCGUGCCAGCAGCCGCGGUAAUACGGAGGAUCCGAGCGUUAUCCGGAUUUAUUGGGUUUAAAGGGAGCGUAGGUGGGUUGUUAAGUCAGUUGUGAAAGUUUGCGGCUCAACCGUAAAAUUGCAGUUGAUACUGGCAGUCUUGAGUACAGUAGAGGUGGGCGGAAUUCGUGGUGUAGCGGUGAAAUGCUUAGAUAUCACGAAGAACUCCGAUUGCGAAGGCAGUUCACUGAACUGCAACUGACACUGAGGCUCGAAAGUGUGGGUAUCAAACAGGAUUAGAUACCCUGGUAGUC